GACGACAGCGGGUUGGGGGCCUGGACCCGUCCGGGAGUUCCGCAUGGUGUUUCGACGGCGUCCAUCCUGGCGCCAAAUGCUUUGCACCAACUCGGCGAGGGUUUGUAGAACCAGGCGGAUGUCCGUGUUGGGAACUUCUUGGUGGUGUUGUUGAGGAUACCGGGGACCGAAAUUAACGGCUUUCUGCGCUCACUUGCCCGGACCAGAAGUAGUAGGCCGACCAGCACGAAUCCGAAGUUAUGACCUCUUGGGUUUGGGUCAACAUACCCUCUCGUUGGACCUGGCCUGCUCCUGCGUCCCGUCGUCGGUCUGAAUGCCCCCGUACACCUCUGCCUCUUGAUGAUGUCACUUCACGGAUAAGUGCGAACUGCCCGCCACUCACCAAAUUGUCAUUGACCUUUGUUUGGCAACAAUAUCUAGCCCAAUGAUCCAUGGCGCCACAAUGGAAGCAGGCCUGUCUGGGUCCCUGAACUCUGCUCCUUGAUUUUCCCCUUCCUGUGGGGCCUCCUUUGUCCUUGAUGGGAAGAAUGGGCUUGGGGUUCUCUAUGGCCUCUAGUUGAUUGAGUUUAAGUUUCUUAGUCCUUGCUUCCUUCUGGCACUCUUUUCUUCCUUUUUAUACCCAAAAUCUUCUGUAUGGCUGAAGUGACUCACCAUCACGGUGGUUUCUGGACUAAAUGAAAUGAGAGAGAGAGAGAGAAAAGAGAGAGAGAGAGAGAGAGAGAGAGAGAGAGAGAGAGAGAGAGAGAGAGAGAGAGAGAGAGAGAUUCAGAAGGGCUGUGCGCAGAUAGUACAGUGUACCCUCGUUAAGUCCAUGUCAGACCACAAAUGCAACAAAGGGUCAAUGCUUUGAAUUAUGGAUACUUUUUGCAGCAGAUAGUGCUCUUGUAUGUAUUGUGCUCUGUGAUCUGUUGAAACGUGUCCCAGAGCCGAGUGUCUGACUUAUUUCGUGCUACAAACUGUCAGAGUAUUAGAGUGUUUACGGUACUCUGCUUUACGGCUGUCGUACCGUAGCUGUUGAUGUUUACUCUAGUGGGUGUUACGGCAGUGGGAGGGGCUUUUCACGUGAGUCUUCACGUGUAUGCUGUGGACAUGAACCCGAGAGCUCCUGGAUAAAGUCAGAAGUAACAACUUACCUGUGUCUGGACAUUCCGUGUUUUAUUACAUGGUGUCAGAAGUGGCCAGUGGUUUUGCAAAGAGUGUAAAUCAUGGCGAAGUUCAACCCACCGGAGAGUUUUAGCUUUGAUAAACCGACGGAGUGGACCGACUGGAAAAGGCGGUUCGAGAGAUAUCGGACGGCUACGGAGCUCAACAAGAAGUCGGGUGAAGUACAAGUGUGUUCCCUGGUGUACGCAAUGGGGAGUGAAGCGGAAAAUAUUUUCAAGUCGUUUACUUUUACUGAACCAGGACACCAGAAUAAUUACAAUAUAGUGAUGGAGAAGUUCGACGAGUACUUUUUCCCGCGGCGGAAUGUAAUCCAUGAGCGUGCUGUUUUCCACCAGCGCGUGCAGCGGCCUGGCGAGCCG
ensembl:lncRNA